rnacentral:rRNA from 1 species
UACGGGGGGGGCAAGCGUUGUUCGGAAUUACUGGGCGUAAAGGGCGCGUAGGCGGCCUGCUAAGUCGGAUGUGAAAUCCCUCGGCUCAACCGAGGAACUGCAUCCGAUACUGGCGGGCUUGAAUCCGGGAGAGGGAUGUGGAAUUCCCGGUGUAGCGGUGAAAUGCGUAGAUAUCUGGAGGAAUACCGGUGGCGAAGGCGGCAUCCUGGACCGACAUUGACGCUGAGGAGCGAAAGCUAGGGGAGCAAACGGG